rnacentral:rRNA from 1 species
GACGAACGCUGGCGGCGUGCCUAAUACAUGCAAGUCGAACAGUGGCGAACGGGUGAGUAACACGUGAGUAACCUGCCCUCCACUUUGGGAUAACUCCGAGAAAUCGGGGCUAAUACUGGAUAGUGGGGGAUGGGCUCGGGGCCUAUCAGUUUGUUGGUGAGGUAGUGGUCACCAAGGCGGGACGGGUAGCCGGCCUGCGAGGGCGACCGGCCACACUGGGACUGAGACACGGCCCAGAGGCAUACGGGAGGCAGCAGUGGGGAAUAUUGCACAAAGGGCGAAGGCAGGAUGCAGGGACGCCGGGGGGGGGAGGACGGCCUUCGGGUUGUAAACCUCUUUCAGCAAGGAAGCGGUACUUGCAGAAGAAGCGCCGGCUAACUACGUGCCAGCAGCCGAGGUAAUAC